rnacentral:misc_RNA from 1 species
GAUGAAGAACGUAUCGAAAUGCGAUAAGUAAUGUGAAUUGCAGAAUUCAGUGAAUCAUCGAAUCUUUGAACGCACAUUGCGCCCCUUGGUAUUCCGAGGGGCAUGCCUGCUCGAGCGUCAUUAUAACCCCUCAAGCUCAGCUUGGUGUUGGGGCCUGCUGCACUGGCAGCCCUUAAAAUCAGUGGCGGCGCCAUCUGGCUCUAAGCGUAGUAAUUCUUCUCGCUAUGGAGUCCUGGUGGAUGCUUGCCAUCAACCCCCAAUUUUUCUAUGGUUGACCUCGGAUCAGGUAGGGAUACCCGCUGAACUUAAGCAUAUCAAUAAGCGGAGGA